rnacentral:rRNA from 1 species
GUUACAUUAAAUUCUAGGUAAAUUUUUGAUUAUGACAUAGUUUAUCUAUAAGUCUUGACCAAAUCAUGUGCCAGCAGUCGCGGUAAGACAUGGAAGACAAGUGUUAUUCAUGAUUAGUGGGUUUAAAGGGUACUCAGACAGUUAAUUAAGCCUAUAUAUUAUGCAGGUACUAAUUAUACUAGAGUUUUAUAGAAGAAGGCUAGAACGGUGAGUGGAGAGAUGAAAUAUGUUGAUACCACCUAGAUACUGACAACGGUGAAGACAACCUUUUAUGUAAUAACUGACGUUAAAGGACGAAGGCUCAAGAGAAAGCAACAGGAUUAGGUACCCCAGUACUGUGGGCAGACAAUGAUGAGUGUCAUAGGUAAGUUUUUUAAUUUAAUUAACAAAUUAUAAGUUUACGUAUAAAUGAAAGUGUAAGCACUCCACCUUAAGAGUAACAUGGCAACAUCGGAACUGAAAUCAUUAGACCGUUUCUGAAACCAGUAGUGAAGUAUGUUGUUUAAUUUGAUGAUCCACAAAGAACCUUACCACAAUUUGAAUUACUCACAGGAGUUGCACGGCUGUCUUCAGUUGAUAUCGUGAGAUUUUGGUUAGAUCCAUCAAUCAACGUAAACCCUUACUUUAUUUUUUUCAUAAAG